UACGGAGGGUGCAAGCGUUGUCCGGAAUCACUGGGCGUAAAGGGCGCGUAGGCGGCUCGGUAAGUAAGGGGUGAAAUCCUGCGGCUUAACCGCAGGGCUGCCUUCUAAACUGUCGAGCUUGAGCACGGUAGAGGCAGAUGGAAUUCCCGGUGUAGCGGUGGAAUGCGUAGAGAUCGGGAAGAACAUCAGUGGCGAAGGCGGUCUGCUGGGCCGUUGCUGACGCUGAGGCGCGACAGCGUGGGGAGCAAACAGG
rnacentral:rRNA from 1 species